UACAGAGGUCCCAAGCGUUGUUCGGAUUUACUGGGCGUAAAGGGUGCGUAGGUGGCGAGGUAAGUUCGAUGUGAAAUCUCCGAGCUCAACUCGGAAAUGGCAUUGAAUACUAUCCCGCUUGAGGGUCGGAGGGGAGACUGGAAUUCUCGGUGUAGCAGUGAAAUGCGUAGAUAUCGGGAGGAACACCAGUGGCGAAGGCGACUACCUGGCCUGUUCUUGACGCUGAGGCGCGAAAGCUAGGGGAGCAAACGGG
rnacentral:rRNA from 1 species